CACACACGCACACAGGGAGAACAUGUUGCAAAGAUGAAGGCAGAAAUUAUAUUGAUGCUUCUAUAAAACAAGAAACACCAAAGAAUGCCAGCAAACCACCGGAAGCCAGGAGGGAAGCACGGAGCAGAUCUUCUGUCAUAUCCCUCAGAAGGAGCUCUGCCCACACCUUGAUCUCAGACUUCUGGCCUCCAGGACUGGAAGACAAUAAGUUUCUGUUGUUAAGCCCCUCAGUGUGGGGUGUUUUGUUACAGCUGCCCUAGAAAACUAAUACAAACACAAAGGUAAAAUUGGGAAGAUGUGGCUGAGUGCGUUAUGUUAAAGAGACCCUGGGGUGCUGGUUGGCUGUAAGCUCAGUCGAAAUCAGCAGUGCUGUGUGGCUGCUAAAGACAGCCAGAUCAGAGUUGAGGCUAUGUUAACAGGAGAUGCACUAGCUAAGCAUACGGGUAUGCUGGUCAGGCCUCACCUGGAGGGCCAUCUUUGGUCCUGGAGACCUCAACUGUAGAGAAGUGGGAGAUCUUCAGAGUCCUAUGCCCAGAGAUGAAGAGACAAGCCAGAGGAGGACUGCUGAACUGGGGAAGAGGUGGCAGGCUCAUCAACUUCCAAUGUUUGAAGAACUGUGGCAUGGAAGAGGGAUGAACACCCAGCCACAGCGAGAAGAGAUGGAACCCACAGGGAGAGAAACAGACUUCAGAGAAAUAAAAUAAUUAUAUUAGGCAUUGUCACCCAAAACAUCAAAUGGGCCGUCUCAUGGGCACCUGAGCUCUCUGUCUCUGAGAAACUCAAGACUCCACCUGCUGACCACUCAGUAGAGACUUGUGCCAAAGACUCAGGCAACCUGCAGCUCCAAAGAGGGUCCACUCACAUUCCCAGCCUGGCUUGACACCAGCAACUUGAGAUUCUUACCUAUUUAAAGUUAGAGGCCACCAUGCGAUGUCUGGGCCUCAAGACUGUUCAUCUAUGGCUUCGGCAGAUUAAACUGUGUGCUGACACAGGGACUCAUAGGCCUCAGAAGAUCAGGUUUGGUGAGACCCAGGUCCACUGGAGGGAAGAACCUGCUCAUGCUCACAGAAUAGGGUCCCAGGAGGAUGAGGGGUGGGAAGGAAAGCUGCCCUGACUCUCCACUGUCCAGGGAGUGAGGGAGCUGGCAGCCCAAGCCUUAAUUGAUCCCUAACUUGAGGGAGCCCCACAUUGGUGUGUGCUGUGAGGGGACACAGAGGAACCUACACCCAGACCUCUCUUUGAGGGGCUCAGGGAAAACUCACUGGGAAGACAGUAUUCUGUAGGAAAGGCAACUGUGAUGUCGGUAAGAAGAUGCAGUGAUCCCUAAGUAUACCUGGGGGACCAGUCCCAGGACCUCCUGCAAAUUCUCAAAUGCACAAAUGUUCAAGUUCCUUAUAUAAAAUGGUGUAGUGUUUGCCUAUAACCUACACACAUCCUCCUGUAUACUUUAAAUCAUCACUUAAUUACUUGUAACACCUAAUACAACGGCCCAGCAGGAAAGUGAGGAAAGUCUCACUCUGGAACCUGGAGAGCUGUUGAAAGGGAGCAUGUGCCCCAAGGCACCUGGUCUAUGUAGAAACAUUACCCUCAGCCUUGGGGACAUUCAUGUAAGUGCUCUUUAGACCUUGCCUGUUUGGAGCUUUUACCACAAGGACACUGCUCUACACUUAGACUCCUGAUGGGACCUAGGGUAUCCCUGAUGCCAAACACUGAAAGUCCAGGCUCUACCAAAGGAGGAAGGAAAGAAAGCCCGGAUCCCGGGAAAUCUGCAGGGGUCUGACCCUGCAUCAGCCAGAGCUAGUGGUAUUUUCCUCUUCUGUCCUGCUUUCGGGCAGAAAUACACACCAACCAACAGGGCAAUGUGUAAACCUUAAAAGCAGUCUGCUUUGAGUGGAUGAGGCCUCUCAGAGAGGGCUCCUAGCUUCCCCCAGGCGCCUUGAGGGAAGAGAAGCAGAGGGAGCUGGCUGCUAGAAACAAAAGUUUGUAUGAAAUGAUAAGAUCUGCCCCAGCUACUCACUACAGAUAUAGAGUUACUCAAGGCACCGAAAGCAGGGAAAGAAGAGGCCUGAGUUGGGUGCUUCACACACUUGUCCCUGAAUAAUUAAGAGCCAACUGCAGCUCUUUUGUAUUCCUAACAGGGGGGCUCUUGGGAGGCCUUCCGGACAAUGGCUAGGGCAGUAGGGAGGGAGCUAUGGCUCAGGUAGACCAGUGGGACUGGCAAAUAGGGAUGGAUCUAAAUUGUUACCCUGCAAGCCAUUUCCCUAAAGUUGCCUCCCAGGGCGGGCUUACAUCAGCUCUGGCAGGGAACGAAACUGCGGACAGAACUGCGGUUAAUCCAAUGGUCAGCCGGUAACACACAG
rnacentral:lncRNA from 10 species